rnacentral:tRNA from 1 species
GGAGCUGUGCCUGAACUUUAAGGAUCACUUUGAUAGAGUGAACCAUGUGGGUUAAACCCCCUCCAGCUUCU